GAUGAAGAACGUAGCGAAAUGCGAUACGUAGUGUGAAUUGCAGAAUUCAGUGAAUCAUCGAAUCUUUGAACGCACAUUGCACCUCUCGGUAUUCCGGGAGGUAUGCCUGUUCGAGCGUCAUUUGUACCCUCAAGCUCUGCUUGGUGUUGGGUGUUUGUUCCGCCUCUGUGUGUGAACUCGCCUCAAAACAAUUGGCAGCCGGCGUACUUGUUUCGGAGCGCAGCACAUUUUGCGAUCCAGAUCAACGUACAGCGGCAUCCAAGAAGCCUUAUUUAACGCUCUUGACCUCGGAUCAGGUAGGGAUACCCGCUGAACUUAAGCAUAUCAAUGCGGAGGA
rnacentral:misc_RNA from 1 species